rnacentral:rRNA from 1 species
UACGAGAGGUGCAAGCGUUAUUCGGAAUUAUUGGGCGUAAAGGGCGCGUAGGCGGUUUGUUAAGUUUGUUGUUAAAGCCUCUGGCUUAACUAGAGAUCAGCAAUAAAAACUGGCAAGCUAGAGUGUGAAAGAGAGAAGUGGAAUUCCCGGAGUAGCGGUAAAAUGCGUAGAUCUCGGGAGGAACACCAAUGGCGAAGGCUGCUUCUUGGUUCACAACUGACGCUGAGGCGCGAAAGCGUGGGGAGCAAACAGG